AUUGAACGCUGGCGGCAUGCUUUACACAUGCAAGUCGAACGGUAACAGGCCUUCGGGUGCUGACGAGUGGCGAACGGGUGAGUAAUGCAUCGGAACGUACCCAGAGGUGGGGGAUAACGCAGCGAAAGCUGUGCUAAUACCGCAUGUGAUCUGAGGAUGAAAGCGGGGGACCGAGCAGCAAUGUUUGGCCUCGCGCCUUUGGAGCGGCCGAUGUCGGAUUAGCUAGUUGGUGGGGUAAAGGCCUACCAAGGCGACGAUCCGUAGCUGGUCUGAGAGGACGACCAGCCACACUGGGACUGAGACACGCCCCAGACUCCUACGGGAGGCAGCAGUGGGGAAUUUUGGACAAUGGGCGCAAGCCUGAUCCAGCAAUGCCGCGUGCGGGAAGAAGGCCUUCGGGUUGUAAACCGCUUUUGGCAGGAACGAAACGGUGUCCGCUAAUACCGGGCGCUAAUGACGGUACCUGCAGAAUAAGCACCGGCUAACUACGUG
rnacentral:rRNA from 1 species